AUGGACAACGGGAAAAUGGUUGGAAUGGUGUCCAUUGGUGACGUGGUUCGUGCUGUGGUGAGUGAGCACCGGGAGGAGCUAAACCGCUUGAAUGCUUUUAUUCAAGGUGGUUACUAGAUAGUGAUGAUGACGAAGAAGUGAGACGCUGCUUUAGUUGACAUGCCGGAAUGACAAACAGUAAUAACCCUCGCCCGAGUGCCUGUAUAUAUCGUGUGUUCGUUUGUGCACCUCCGGUUGUUCGACAAACAGUAAUAACCCUCGCUCGGGUGCCUGUAUAUAUCGUGUGUUCGUUUGUGCACCUCCGGUUGUUCGACAGACAGUAAUAACCGUCGCUCGAGUGCCUGUAUAUAUCGUGUGUUCGUUUGUUCACCUCCGGUUGUUGUUUGGUUCUGUACUUCCAGUUACUGUCUAAUUACAAACCUGUGGGACUAUCAAGUACUUAACAAUAAGCAAUGUUAUGUUUUGCUUAAAUCGUCUUUCUUUCUCCAGUCGAUGGUAGCGCGUGCGUACCUUGUAUUUUGCAUCGCACACGUUUAUGUCGAAACCAUAAUCUUGAAUCUCGUUUGGUGUUUAAGCAUGCAAAUCAAGCUAGUGUUCAAAUAUACUCGUUUGAAGUGUUUUUAAAAUGAUUGAAAAUGUUUU
rnacentral:lncRNA from 1 species